CCGCAGCCUAUCUGCUAGGUAUAUUAGCAGGAGCCGGGAGGUAUGAAACAUUAGGACGCGUUGGGAGGAGCAGAGCUGCAGGAGCCAACUACUGAGAGCCAUAAAGGAGGUGAAAAAAAUCUGUUUGUGUGAGAUAAAACUGCGGAAUUGGCCAGGUUCGAUGGCGAGCUAGAGCCCAAGAAAAGAUUGCACUUUUGGUGCUGGAAGACUUCUGCUUCUCCUGCCAGGCUGGUAGGAGGCUUCUUGCAGCUAAUGAACAAUUUUCUCCCCACUCUGAUCUGACUUUAGUCAGCUGAUGACCUGCACUGCACCAAGCUUUUUAAUUGUAAUCUGCUUGGGACCUCUAAUCAACCCCAGCUUGAAGGUAGAUGAACUGAAGGGUGUGGGUCCAUUUAUGUUGGAACUGUGGGAUUGAUAAAUUUUGUUUUUUGUUUAUUUUGUGUUUUUUUUGUUUUUUUUCCCCCUUUCUUUUUUGCGCAUUUUUAUAUGGCCAUUUGGAUGUUUCCACUGUUGUAAAUAUGUAUAUAGUUUUUUUUCACACUAUAAAUACAAGGCACUCGCAACUGCAACCUUCUAGUCUGUCUGCUCCUUCACGAGUCGCACCUACCUUCUGUAAAAACUAGCCCAUUGAUCUUAUUGGUCACCAUUCAUUUACAUUUAUUGAAAAUAUAGUAUAUUUACAAAUAUGCUACACAGUACUCAAACCUUUGUGUUGCAAGACAACAGUACAACCGACUUCUUCACCAGCCUUAUGUAGACUGAAACUGAUAUCAACUUUUAACUGAUUUUCAAAAUUCAAAUUUCAAACUGAUUUUCAACAUUCAAUUUGCAUAGUGUGACCCUUUUAGUAGAAACAGUGCUGUAGUCAUCACUACUGUAAACCAGCAAAAUUGUUAUGACAGAGAAAUGUGAAUUUAAACCCAUUUUAUUUCCAGUUGAUAAAACCACUGAGUGCUUCCAUCUUGCAAUAAAAUGUUUGUUUUUCUGGC